UCGAGAAUUUUUCUCAAUGGGGGAAACCCUGAAGGAGCGACGCCGCGUGGAGGAUGAAGGUCUUCGGAUUGUAAACUCCUGUCAUUAGGGAACAAUUGCAUCAUAUUAACUGUGUGAUGCUUGAUAGUACCUGAAGAGGAAGAGACGGCUAACUCUGUGCCAGCAGCCGCGGUAAUACAGAGGUCUCAAGCGUUGUUCGGAUUCAUUGGGCGUAAAGGGUGCGUAGGCGGUGAAGUAAGUCAGGUGUGAAAUCUCGGGGCUCAACCCCGAAACUGCACUUGAUACUGCUUUGCUAGAGUACUGGAGAGGAGAUUGGAAUUUACGGUGUAGCAGUGAAAUGCGUAGAUAUCGUAAGGAAGACCAGUGGCGAAGGCGAAUCUCUGGACAGUUACUGACGCUGAGGCACGAAGGCCAGGGGAGCAAACGGG
rnacentral:rRNA from 1 species